CAGGGCUCAAACGAGUGAUUGAGCACCUGGUGGGAAGGCAGGGCCAACCCAGGGGAGCUCAGGUGCAUGUAAUGUAGCUAAAUGACUGGGAGUGGUGGACCCGGGAUAUACCCCUUCCCAGCCCUCAUUUAAGGGUUGGCAGUGGAAGGAUGGGUAUCUCUUGUUGGAGGUCCCUGUGAAUCUAUAGUCUUCUGAAGGUGUAAAAGAGAUGUUGAAAUACUGUCUGCAAUGAAGAGAAAUUACCUGGACACCUUUCAGCAGAAAUUGCUGUGUGCAAGCUGAUGUCUUUUUCCUUCUACAAAGGAUUUUAACAACCUUGUUGCAUAGGACUUAAAGAAAUCAAAUAGGUUAGAAAAGAUUGAAGUUAUCCGAGAAUCUUCUGUCAAAUAAUCUCUGUAUGUAGAAGGGUGUGGCACGAUACCGCAGCUCUUCAAAGCAUUAUGUGCACAGUACAGAUACAGAUGUCCCGAGUGUUUCACCUCAUUCACCCAACUGCACUUGAAGAUGUCCUUGGAAUGAGGAACACUUCAAAGAUUCAAGUCCAAGUUUCAAGUUCAUUGUGGUUGUUGAAGAGCACCAGUGUUUAAGCACUUUACUCCAGGCCUCUCUUUGGUUCUGAAAGCAUCAGAUAACAGCUGCAAGCUUUAAAAAGCAGCUGGAUAUAAGUGAUGUACCCUAUAAUCUGUUCAAAGCCUUUUGUACUGUAACACUUCUGUCUUUGAAACCAAUAAUCUCUUUUUUUUUUUGUUUCAAACUUUUUGAUGGAUUAUGUUUCUUGGAAUUGCCCAGACUCUCCAAACUGAGGUUUGUUUUGAGGAACUGUAGGGGCUGGGUUUUAAUUUGUCCCAGUUUUCUCCUCUUGCUGUAUUAUGCAAGCUUCUCAUUUUGUGUUUAUACCAUUAAGAUAUUGCUUAGGAAUACUAUUACUUGAAUAGUUCUGGAGAUCAAAUUGCCCAUGGAAAUACCACAUGCGAUAAUGCUGUUAUACUCUGAUUAUAUUAUAUGCUAUUGUGUAUUGUAAUUAGACAUAUUUUAAAAUAGUAUCCCCUAAGGCCAAUGAAAUCAUGUAAUUCACAACUACUAGGUUAUCCUAAGCAGUCUGAAGGUUCUGGAUGAGUAGACCAGCUCCUGGAAGUCAGUUUUGUGGGAGACCUAUUGGACAACCCUGUGGCGAAAGCUGCUGGCAGCUACUACUGUCUGGGAAAUUGGUUAUAUAAUGUGUGAUGGAGUUUAAAGGGCCCAAGGGUAGCAUUUUCCUAAUGAUAGGGAAUAAAACUGCCCAUAGGAAUACUGAGGAGCUGGAGGUAGGAAGCGGUUCCAGUGUUGAGAAUGUUUUGUCGUAGUUCUGACUGUAAGUCUUCUCUCAGGAAGAGAGGUGGAGUGGUUGGAUAUGUUUGUAGCUGCAUGCUGUUAUCUAAAACUACUUGUAUUUUUUAUGUAGACAAUACUUUGGAGCAAUUUCUAUGAAGUUAUGUGUUAAGCAUUGUUAUUAAUUGUAAGCAGUUGUUUGUAAUGCUUUGAACUAAGUAAAAUCACCUUCAGGUGAUUUUUCUUUUUUUCCCCACUAGUAUUGCUUCUACACAUCCAUAAUGGUACUAUGCUGAUACAACCUAUCUGAAUGAAGUGAAAUAAUGCUUCCUUUGCAGUGUUCAGAGUGCAGGCCUUAAUCAUCCUUAAUUUCUAAGUCUAAUCCUCAAGUUAGAACAAGUAUUUUUUUAAUCUUCUUGUGCAACAGAUAAGCUUCUUGUAGAACCACUAUUGCUGAAUGAGAAAUACCACCCUGGAUGUUUUGCAGCCCUCUCAGGGUGACUGAGGAAACUGUUAAAGACAUGGAAGUGGAUUGCUACUUGUGGCAUACUAGCAUGUAACACCGAUCUGUAACAGUAACUCCAUCACUAAAAAUCUUGGCAGGAAUGGUUGUGGUAACUGAAGUGUAAUGUAAAUGUAUCAAAAUGAUAGGAAUUAAUUUUGAAUUACACUUUCAUUUAGUUUUGUUCUAAUAACUUAAUUUUACUAGUAAAGAGUUUAAAACUAAGAACUUCAAGGCACGUUUUCACAAGUUUGUUCUUGAAACUUGGGGAAAUAAUCUCCGUGCUCCUGAUCUGUGUAGGAGUUCUUGCAUGAGGAGUAGUGGAUUGAGUUCCCUCAGGUUUAAUGCCAGAGUUAACUGAAAGCCCAGAGACAAAAGCUUUGUCGUUGUUUCUGAGGCUGCACUUCUGAUUCAUUCUGUUCGCUAAUUCACUGUGUCUUGAGAAUGCUGAUCCCAGAUCAGAAUAUGAGCUUGAAAAUGCUGUAACAUUAAAAUCACAGUUGAGAUAGUGGGUAUAUUUCUGCUCCAUCUAUAGUGUUCAAGACUAAUAGGCUUGUUUUUUUUUCCAACCCACUAUAGUAAGAUAAUUCAGCAGAAACUUCUAAUUA
ensembl:lncRNA